rnacentral:rRNA from 1 species
CACGAAGUUAGCCGGGGCUUAUUCUUCCGGUACCGUCAUUAUCGUCCCGGACAAAAGAGCUUUACAACCCUAAGGCCUUCAUCACUCACGCGGCAUGGCUGGAUCAGGCUUGCGCCCAUUGUCCAAUAUUCCCCACUGCUGCCUCCCGUAGGAGUCUGGGCCGUGUCUCAGUCCCAGUGUGGCUGAUCAUCCUCUCAGACCAGCUACUGAUCGUCGCCUUGGUAGGCCAUUACCCCACCAACUAGCUAAUCAGACGCGGGCCGAUCCUUCGGCAGCAAGCCUUUCCCCAAAAGGGCGUAUCCGGUAUUAGCGCUAGUUUCCCAGCGUUAUUCCGAACCAAAGGGUACGUUCCCACGUGUUACUCACCCGUCUGCCGCUGACACCGAAGUGCCCGCUCGACUUGCAUGUGUUAAGCCUGCCGCCAGCGUUCGCUCUGAGCCAGGAUCAAACUCU